GAAAUUCAGCCAAAAACCUAGAUUUCAAAAUCGGUUUCCUGAAUGUAGAAUCAAUCCAAUCCUAUCCUAUAGACAACUAGAGCUCGAAUAGUAGAUGUGAUUCCAUACCUUGAUCACCGAAAAUGGCUGCCGGAGGACGGAGAACGACGGUGGCGAAAUCUCUGCCAAAAACCAACUUGUUCUCAGGCUUAUUCAGACGGUUUGCGACGAUUCCCAGGCUGGAGAUCGGUCGGAAGUGGAAGAGAAAAGUGGCCCGGUUCGUUUGGGAUCGGUCCCGUCGAUCGGGGUGGUCGGAACUGGCGAUGGCGUGGGUUGUUCUGUUCGGAUAAACAAUAACAGGGGAGGGGGAAGUCGCGCAGAGGGAGAAGAGAAUGGGGGGGAGAGAGAGAGAG
rnacentral:lncRNA from 1 species